rnacentral:misc_RNA from 1 species
GCACACCCGUACAGUUACGCGUACAGGCGAGCGUGGCAAAGUAGAUCAUAGAAAGGCAGUCAUUGAAGAUCGAGCCACUGACCGGCGUGUGCGUGCGUGCCUGCGGAUGAGGGCAACUCCAACUUGGGAGAGCGCACACACAGGCACGCGCACACGUAUCCAUAGAUACGCAAGUGGAGCAGCAGCUCGCGGCACCAUUGUGGCCGCCACCAUUCGCAGACAUCAGCAGACCUUCUAAGCAAGGCGCUACAGCACGCACCACUCGCACACGAGCAAUCAGUGAAAACAAAACCGAAGCACGGUGCCUUUGGCGGUUUCACUGCUUGCUAAUCAGAAGUGUCCUCAUUGAGCGCCAGCCCCAUGGCUGUUUCGCGCCAGUGCGUCCGCAUCUCGCUCUUUCAGUGCGCGCCGCUCUCCGAUACCAGCGUCCACCAAGCGCGUCGUGCAUCUCAGGCGGACGGGAAGCCUGAGGCCAAGCAGCCUCUGUUUCGCAGCCGCUCGGCCGACUACCGUGGUGAUGUGCUGAUCCCCUUGGCAUCCAUCGCUUCGUCGUCUCUGCAGUCGGUGGAUCAGAAAACGGAAACCGUGAAGCUCCACCAACUUCGUGACGGGCUUGAAGGCCGUUUAUCGACUUACUGUGUACUGCAUGUGCCGGCUUCUCGCACAAGGUCGUUUGUAGAGGAGCACCGGCUCAGUCCGUUGUCUGUGUCACUGACGCCGCCUGCUGCCGGGCCGAGCGCGCCAGAGGACGUGCAACUAAUCUUGGCCGCCGAUGAGGAGCAGAGCAGAAGCAGAUGUGAAGGGGCGCCGGUGUGCCUCCCCGGCGAGGCGCAGUUCCGCUGUUGCGCUAGCUGCUCCUCUUCGGUGGUCGCAGAGGCAGCGGCAAUCUCGAGCAAAGCCCCGACUGUACUAGGCGCCUCAUCUGCGCCGCCUGAAGCUGCGUCUAACACCACCUCUAACGCACCAUGGAUUUGCAUCAACCAAAUGCAGCGCAUGAUGGCUCGUAGCAGCGACGCGACUUCGCAGACGCUGUCGUCAUCAUCGCUGCAGUCAUGCUUCGCGCCUCCAGCGACUUCUCUACCCAUGCGGUCCGCAGAAGAGUGGAUGCUGCAGCAGCAUGAUUCCACCGAUGUGUUUCUCACCUCUUCCGAGGCUGAGUCUGUGGGUGCCGUGGAUGCAGAGGAUGAUGGCGCAGAAGGCGAGGUGGAGGGCGGGGCGUGCUACGCGGCCUUUUUCAGUCUGACGAUGCUUCCUGCCGCUGAGCGGGCAAAGCGCCUCAUGCUAAGCCUCGCGCGAUCGUCGGCGCCCGCAGCAGGAGCGACGACAUCCAAGUCUCCUACUGUAUUCACGGUGCGCACACACCACCACACGCUUCGCAUCGGUCUGCCACUGCGGACGUCGGUCGGUGAGGCUGAUCCAUCUAAGACGCUGCAGAGUCCACUGACCCUGCGCGAGGCCAUCAUAGACCGCUUACGCUUGCAGCGCCGCGUUCGCGUUGAGCGUCUCCUUGAUACUAAGACGGGGGCGGCUGUGCUGCCGUGCGAGAGUGCACCGACGCUUCUAGCUGCACAGGUUGUGUCGCUGGAGGUCGAAUGCAGAGCUUCUCUGGCUGCACGAAGCAAGCAGGAGGAAGGGCUCACGCAGCGACUGGCUCCUCGAUCGCCGUUGGAAGCGCAGCAACAGUCCUCUUCUACACCGACCAGUGCCAGAGCCGGUGGCCCAAGCACAGAGACUGCAUCCGACCUCUUGGACCACCUGGCCAGCCUUCGCGCGCACCAUCACGGUGAUCAAUACUACUACGAUGACAUCGAUGCCUACGGCUGGGCGGAGCGGCGUACGCUUAUCUCGCCAAGCGAGCUUGCGAGCGAGUCAGAGCUACGGCUGACCUUCACAGAUAGUCGAGGCCCCAGUCAGAUGCCGCGGUACUCCUCGACGCGUCCUUCAACGGCUUCGUCCGGUGCUGCAUCGUCUGUGGUGUCGCUGUUCGCAGACAGCAGCAAUUCUCACCGCGCGCAACGGCCGCAGGACGAUGGCCUAUGCGCUGUGCAGACAGGGCCACCUGACGGUGUAGGGGUCACCGGCAGCUCAGCAGGAACGGAGCUUCCCAUGAGCACGGAAAAUGGCACCAAUCUUCACGAGCAAUACCACAACCGAGGCAGCAAGGUUUCCGGUGACCAGUGCGGCUCCACAGUCUUCUCCUCCAUGAACGGAGAGGAGGCGACGGCGCCGCUGUCGCCCGUGCAGGGCAAACUCGUGGGGCUGCGCGACUCCCUGUGCGACAUGAACGACGUAUUCAUCUACGAGGAUGAGGAGACGGUUGUAGACGUCGAUGCUGUAGGCACCGAGGGCAGAGGUGAUGGGAUCAGCGGUAACCAGCGGCAGGAGCGGCGCAGCUCCCUGGUGUGGAGCACACCCGUCGCCCGCGGUUCCGGCGCGGGCAGGAUGCUGAGCGAUACAGGUUUCAGUGCAACGCCUUUGAUAUACCGGACGAGCGCACGGCUCUCCCUGUCACCCCCCACAUCACCGGUAGCCGUGCCCGGCAAAGCAGCGACGACCGUGAUGAACGAGCAACCCACGCAGCGGAUGAUCUUCGCGACCUCGCCUUCCUCCACUGCAUCGCUUUUCCGGUCGCUUCACAGCGGCACGUCUGUCGAGAACGAGGGGGUGACUGCAUUUGGCAGCGGUGAUGACGGCGACGUGACGAGCGCGGGCGAGGCGCACGACGGCGAUGUGGCAGAGCAAGGUGCGGGCGAUGCCAUACAUAAAUUCCUCAUGUCUGUGGUAAGAGCCUCCGCUGCAUCUCCAGCUUCCGCCUCCUCGGCGAUGUCAACCACCGACAGCAGCAUUGCCUCCGCUCCACACAGCAGUAACAUGAGCAGCAGCAGUCUUGCAAGAAGCGAUCAUCCAUCGACGCCGUCUUGCGAGGCGACACCGUCUGUGCGACGCGAGGGUGCGGCGGCCUCAAGCGGAGAAAUGCUAGUGGCACCACUGUCUCUCGUAGACAGCGCUUCGGCAUCUGCUUUGCCGUCGCCUUCCCCGCAUAAGACGGGGCAUGCAGCUGCACCAGCGCAUCCGGACGAGCAGACGACGCUCAUCGCGCCCUGCUCCACUCCGCCGCCGUCGAGACGCUGCACCUCUGAGCAUGAGUUUCGCAGCUACCUCCACAGCCUGAACCCUCUUGCCACCCAGAACGGCAGUGAGCGUGCAAGCCAAGGAGCGCCGCUGGUGGACGCCCAGAGAUCCACCGAUGGAUGGAAUGCCCAAAAUGGCGAGAAAGCGGUGUGUCACGGUCAUGAUGGUGGCAUCUCUAGCGAACGAAAGCGUGCGCGCGGGCGGGAGACGAUGGCCCUGGAUUCGACCGAUGCCCGUCCGAUGGCGGUGCUGAGGGGCGAAGGAGAACAUGCGGUGACAUUGUUCUCCUCCUCGACCUCUGCAGGUGGCAUCGAAGACGACCACUCCACCAAUAGCUCCAUCUCGACGCCGUCGACCACCGUCGCCAUCAGAGCUGUGCGCAUGCGCUCUCCGAUCAUCUUAUCACCAGGUGAGCUAAGCCGCAUGGCGCUCAACAUGGCCGCCUCCGACGCGAUCCAGAUACGGCCAUCUUACAUGAAGCACCCCUUGGCACGCACUGUGGAGCUCGAUCUCGACGACGCUUCCGAGGUCUCUGAGGACAUGCUCAGUCAUUACGACUAUGGCGGCUACAUUGCGUCGUACACGGCGCCCGGCAGCGACGGCCGGGAGGACCUCGACCGCGACGAUGGACGGGGCCACGGCUCCCGGCACUCCUCCACCUGUCGUUCUCACAUGGCGAGGCCGACACAGCACUGUCAAAGUAUGGUGUUGCAGCCCGUGUCGCAGUCGUCUUGUCGGCAGGGUGCUGCUCCGCUAGUUGCUGCGACGACCACAGAAGAAGCGACGACGACGAUGGAUCCUGCACACCACCUGGACGGCACAACGCGCCGUCGCUCUUUGUCGUUCCCCGCACCAGGCCUGGAAACGUGGAUCCGCCUCACCGACGAUGACAGCGGCGGCACGGAGAGUGGCGCAGACCACCACAUGCUGUUGACGCAGCGGGCGAUCCCUGCGCACACCACACGCAGUACCUCCUCUGCGGAGAGUGACGGAGGCGGCAGCGCAAGCGACGACGACAACAACGAGCGCGACGCCGAUCACACCUAGGUGCGGGCUUUGCGGCCCCCGCAGAUGCAGGUGGUUAAGAGGCAUGGCGAGAGAACGAAACGCUGGCGCUUCAUUUUGCUGCUUUGCAUGUUCUCGUCCUGAUGCCGGAGGACCACACCUCGGCGCAUCGUAUCCUCAGGGUCUAGUGCACCCCGACUCUGUGUGGGGAGGAAGCCAGGCGAGCCCCCUUAUCUCUGCCGAUGCCGAGCUACCUCUGGUGGUAACAUGGUCAAGUACUUAUGGCGUAGGGCGUGGUGAGAGUGGUGUAGCGCUGCUGAUAUUGGAGGUCAGGUCCUGGCUGACGUUGCGUCGGAGCGGCCUGCGGCAGCGAGCACGUUUGCACCACCCACAUGAUGGGCAGGGUGUCAGCGUGGCUUGAGCGUACCUCACCCGGCCCUCGCACUGCCCACUGAUGUGGGGAGCCUGCGCCACGGCGAGGGGGAUGCACCAGGGGUGGCGACCGGCAUGAUGUGAGCGGCUGUGAGGCGGCCUGUGGAGCGAGAGACGGCUAGAGCUUGAUGCAGAGGCCGUGUGCAGAUGACUGACUCGGUGCAUAGCUCUAAAGCAUGUGUCUAAGGCUGCUUCGCACGGUGCGACGGGCCUGUGGCAGGGCCGGGAGCCGAGUGGAGUGUGGCUCAUGCUCUGUGGUGGAGAAUGGACAUGAUGGGUGGAAAAAACAAAAUUUCUCUUCUCCCGCGUUAAGAAGCGCAUGACCGUUGUGCCAUCCAGUGCGGUGAGGCGAAGUAAUCGAGGAAGAAUGGACAUCGUGUGAUUCCCUGAUGGGGUGCGCCUGCUCCUGUGUAUGCGGCUGAAGCAAGUAGCGAGUGCACCUGAGAAUACCCCCCCUGUCGCGUAUUAAGCGUGCAAGUGACCCGCGGGGCCCAUCUAUGGCGCCGGUUCGAUGAGACAUGCAGGCCCGUUCUUCCGCCGCGGGAGAACGGUGGGGUGAGUCGUUGUAUUUGUUGAGGCGUCGUGAACUUCUCUCUCCACCUACUGUCUCCGUCUCUCUCUCUCUCCGUGAUUGUAUGCGUCCUCCUUCCAG